rnacentral:rRNA from 1 species
AUUGAACGCUGGCGGCAGGCCUAACACAUGCAAGUCGAGCGAGCGGCGGACGGGUGAGUAAUGUAUGGGGACUGCCCGAUAGAGGGGGAUAACUACUGGAAACGGUGGCUAAUACCGCAUACUAUCGGAUAACCCAUAUGGGAUUAGCUAGUUGGUGGGGUAAAGGCUCACCUAGGCGACGAUCUCUAGCUGGUCUAAGAGGAUGAUCAACAACACUGGGGCUAAGACACGGCCCAGACUCAUACGGAGGCGACAGGGGGGAAGAUUGCACAAUGGGCGCAAGCCUGAUGCAGCCAUGCCGCAUAUAUGAAGAAGGCCUUAGGGUUGUAAAGUACUUUCAGCAGGGAGGCGUUACCCGCAGAAGAAGCACCGGCUAACUCCGUGCCAGCAGCCGCGGUAAUAC